GAAGAAGAACGUGCGUGAGAGUAACUGUUCAUGCAGUGACGGUAUUCAACCAGAAAGUCACGGCUAACUACGUGCCAGCAGCCGCGGUAAUACGUAGGUGGCAAGCGUUAUCCGGAUUUAUUGGGCGUAAAGCGAGCGCAGGCGGUUGCUUAGGUCUGAUGUGAAAGCCUUCGGCUUAACCGAAGAAGUGCAUCGGAAACCGGGCGACUUGAGUGCAGAAGAGGGCAGUGGAACUCCAUGUGUAGCGGUGGAAUGCGUAGAUAUAUGGAAGAACACCAGUGGCGAAGGCGGCUGUCUGGUCUGCAACUGACGCUGAGGCUCGAAAGCAUGGGUAGCGAACAGGAUUAGAUACCCUGGUAGUCCAUGCCGUAAACGAUGAGUGCUAGGUGUUGGAGGGUUUCCGCCCUUCAGUGCCGCAGCUAACGCAUUAAGCACUCCGCCUGGGGAGUACGACCGCAAGGUUGAAACUCAAAGGAAUUGACGGGGGCCCGCACAAGCGGUGGAGCAUGUGGUUUAAUUCGAAGCUACGCGAAGAACCUUACCAGGUCUUGACAUCUUGCGCUAACCUAAGAGAUUAGGCGUUCCCUUCGGGGACGCAAUGACAGGUGGUGCAUGGUCGUCGUCAGCUCGUGUCGUGAGAUGUUGGGUUAAGUCCCGCAACGAGCGCAACCCUUGUUACUAGUUGCCAGCAUUCAGUUGGGCACUCUAGUGAGACUGCCGGUGACAAACCGGAGGAAGGUGGGGACGACGUCAGAUCAUCAUGCCCCUUAUGACCUGGGCUACACACGUGCUACAAUGGCCGGUACAACGAGCAGCUAACCCGCGAGGGUGUGCAAAUCUCUUAAAGCCGGUCUCAGUUCGGACUGCAGUCUGCAACUCGACUGCACGAAGUCGGAAUCGCUAGUAAUCGCGGAUCAGCAUGCCGCGGUGAAUACGUUCCCGGGCCUUGUACACACCGCCCGUCACACCAUGGAAGUUUGCAAUGCCCAAAGUCAGUGGCCUAACCAUUUUGGAGGGAGCUGCCUAAGGCAGGGCAGAUGACUGGGGUGAAGUCGUAACAAGGUAGCCGUAGGAGAACCUGCGGCUGGAUCACCUCCUUUCUAA
rnacentral:rRNA from 1 species